GCCAAAGAGAAAUCAUUGUUUAUUCAAUUGGUACCGGUGCAUUUGUUUUCGUUAUACUUCUGUGCACCGUGUGUCAACGCCGAUACAAACAAAUCUACGUCAACUUAAAGAGAUACCAUGCAUAUAGAAGAAAUAGAAAUAUACCAGAAAUAUCAAUGUCGAACAUUCCGCUAGAGGAAACUGAGGGAACAUAUGAAGUAAUAGACGAGUCGAAUAUGAUACAUGUAGAUAACGUUGAGACCAUUAUGGAAAGCAAUAGCUCAAUUUCGAACACAAAAGAAAGAAAUUCCCAGCCCAAUAGGAACAGUUAUCUUGCACCAUAUCAACCUAGUUAUAAAGAUUUAAAAAUAAGCCAUGUAACUGAUAAUAAAAAUGACCUUUUAGGGCUGUCAGAUGGUUAUCACCAAACCACAAGUGAUCUUGAAUCAACUUCCUCUACUUCAGAC
rnacentral:lncRNA from 1 species